CGGUAAGUUACAAAAUUGCGUUUUAAAUGAAAGCGAACAGCAAAUAUCCGGAUACGUGGAUACCGAUACAAAUUAUAAUUUUUUGGAUUGGUUGAAGAAUGAAGGAUAUUCCUUUUCUAUAAGAGACAGUACCGUGCAUGUCAUAGCAGGGAGGGAACAACCAGUAACAUGUAUCAAGUGGAACUUCAGCGAUUUGCCUUUAACUAGGCGGGCAGAGCAACCAUCGCCCACCAGUUCGAAAUAGAAUUUGUUAAAUUUAAUGUAUUAGUGUUUCAACAAUAAUAAAGUUUUCAUGUUAUUUUCAUAAA